rnacentral:rRNA from 1 species
AUUGAACGCUGGCGGCAUGCCUUACACAUGCAAGUCGAACGGCUGAAGGGAGCUUGCCCCUGGGUUCAGCGGCGGACGGGUGAGUAAUGCAUAGGAACCUGCCUGGUAGUGGGGGAUAACGUCCGGAAAGGGGCGCUAAUACCGCAUACGACCUGAGGGAGAAAGCGGGGGACCUUAGGACCUCACGCUAUCAGAUGAGCCUAUGUCGGAUUAGCUAGUUGGUGGGGUAAAGGCUUACCAAGGCGACGAUCCGUAACUGGUCUGAGAGGACGACCAGUCACACUGGAACUGAGACACGGUCCAGACUCCUACGGGAGGCAGCAGUGGGGAAUAUUGGACAAUGGGCGCAAGCCUGAUCCAGCCAUGCCGCGUGUGUGAAGAAGGUCUUCGGAUUGUAAAGCACUUUUGGUUGGGAGGAAGGGCAGUAAGCUAAUACCUUGCUGUGUUGACGUUACCAACAGAAUAAGCACCGGCUAACUACGUG